UGAAGCGGCAAAAGCUCAAAUUUGAAAUCUGGCACUUUCAGUGUCCGAGUUGUAAUUUGAAGAAGGUAACUCUGGAGUUGGCCCUUGUCUAUGUUCCUUGGAACAGGACGUCACAGAGGGUGAGAAUCCCGUGCGAUGGGGUGUCCAAUUCUAUGUAGAGUGCUUUCGAAGAGUCGAGUUGUUUGGGAAUGCAGCUCUAAGUGGGUGGUAAAUUCCAUCUAAAGCUAAAUAUUGGCGAGAGACCGAUAGCGAACAAGUACAGUGAUGGAAAGAUGAAAAGAACUUUGAAAAGAGAGUGAAAAAGUACGUGAAAUUGUUGAAAGGGAAGGGCUUGAGAUCAGACUCGGUAUUUUGCGAUCCUAUCCUUCGUGGAGAGGUUUCAUUUGCAGCUUACCGGGCCAGCAUCGGUUUGGAUGGUAGGAUAAUGACAUUGGAAUGUGGCUCUUCGGAGUGUUAUAGCCCUUGUUGAUACUGCCUAUCUAGACCGAGGACUGCGUCUUUGACUAGGAUGCUGGCAUAAUGAUCUUAAGCCGCCCGUCUUG
rnacentral:rRNA from 2 species